GAUGAAAGAACGCAGCGAAAUGCGAUAAGUAAUGUGAAUUGCAGAAUUCAGUGAAUCAUCGAAUCUUUGAACGCACCUUGCGCCCUUUGGCCAUUCCGAAGGGCAUGCCUGUUUGAGUAUCAUGAACACCUCAACUCUUUAUGGUUUUCCAUGAUGAGCUUGGACUCUGGGGGUUUUGCUGGCUCACAGUCGGCUCCUCUAAAAUGAAUCAGCUUACCAGUGUUUGGUGGGUAUCAUGGGUGUGAUAACUAUCUACGCUUGUGGUUUUUCCACCAGGUAACCUUCAGCAGUGGAGGUUCGCUGGAGCUCAUAGAUGUCUCUCCUCAGUGAGGACAGCCCUUUGAAUGUUUGAUCUCAAAUCAGGUAGGACUACCCGCUGAACUUAAGCAUAUCAAUAAGCGGAGGA
rnacentral:misc_RNA from 1 species